rnacentral:rRNA from 1 species
UGGGGAAUUUUGCACAAUGGAGGAAACUCUGAUGCAGCGACGCCGCGUGAGUGAUGAAGAUCUUCGGAUUGUAAAACUCUGUCCUUAGUGAAGAUAAUGACAGUAACUAAGAAGCAAGCCCUGGCUAAAUACGUGCCAGCAGCCGCGGUAAUACGUAUGGGGCAAGCGUUGUCCAGAAUUAUUGGGCGUAAAGGGUACGUAGGCGGUUUAAUAAGUCCUAAUUAAAAGGCUAUGGCUCAACCAUAGUAUGGUUAGGAAACUGUUGAACUUGAGUAGAUGAGGGGAAAGUGGAAUUCCAUGUGUAGCGGUGAAAUGCGUAGAUAUAUGGAGGAACACCAAUGGCGAAGGCAACUUUCUGGAAUCAAACUGACGCUGAGGUACGAAGGCGUGGGGAGCAAACAGG